UCUGAGCAGUGCCUGCUUAUGUUUCCGUUUCCGUGGCAACUGCAAGGCAGGGCGCGAGGAGCUAGGGGCGAGGCAAGUUCUGCAGCUGACCGGGUGGGAGGAGCUACGUCCGGCUCUCCAGGUCCUGCUUUGUCUCUGUCUGGAGUCUCUGACAUCUUCCCAUCUUCAGAGUGGGUGCAGAAGUUGCGCACUUUGGCAAGCGCAGAGGCCGGCACUCCAUAAAAGAGAAGUGCCCUGUUUAUGUGAGCCGUCAGCGACCCGCAAAAAGGCUUUUCUUAGUUUUCAUUCUUAGUUAACGUUAAAAUUUAGUGGCAAACUUUACAAAGAAUCUGCAGUUCCUUUAGGGGCAUGCCCUGAAUCGCACAAUAGAGAGACAGGAUUCGGGGAGGGAGGAAAAUGUGGGGGGAAAGUGGAGAAGAGGGAGAGGGGAAAGAGGAGAGCCAACGCAGGAAGCAACAGACCCAAACCACAGACCAUUAUCGAGGGAGGGAACAAAGGAGGUACGAACCUCUCCCCAACCCUGUAGCAGUAUGAACCUCCAUCUAGAGGCUGCAAUGGAGUCCUGAUUUAUGCUAGGCCCAGUUCCCCAAGUCUUUGUGGAGAAAGCAGCCAGCCAGACAACACACCAAGGGUCCCAGGGAUGUUUUUUUGAUGAAAGGGUUCAACAGAGAAAGGAAUUGGGAAAAGCUGAGAAAGGCCAGGCACAACUCAGCAUGUCCUGACUUCGAGGAGCCGGAAUCAGCCAUAGUGACUGUGGCUGGCACCCAUGGGGAAAAGCCAGGUUCUGUGGCACACAUCUUUGAAGCCUGUGCAGACAAGACGAUCCCUGGUGUGCACUGCUAGCCGAUCUAGUCUGUUCUGUGAGCUCCAGGCUCAGGAAGAGACUCCAUCUGAAAAAAUAAAUGAGGUGAAGAGCAGUCCAGGAAGAAACCUGAUGUUGAUUCUGGCCUUUAUCUAUGUGCCCGCCCACAAUUCAUGGAAAUACAAAGAGACAUCUAAGGACCCCCUGUGCUCCCUCAGCACAAAGAUACCUGCUCUGAGUGUUCUGGUGAUGAGACUUAGCCCUGAAGGAACCCAUGGACCUAAGCCACAGUGUGCACUUUGGGUAACUCCGGGAGGUUUUCUGUAAGACUGCAGCUGUGUGCCAGGAAGACCACACCCACACGUCACAUCUCUUCAGGGACAUCGAGCGGGAAGUUGUGUCCUUUCUUUACCCCAUUGCAUCGCACAUUUCCUAUAAUAUCCCUGCUCAUUAUUCUGCAUGGCACAGGACAUGGCUUAUUCCCCGUUAGCAUUUCAUAAUAUUUGCUAUUAGAAAGUAAGUCCUAUGACAGGAAGAGAUGUUAUAAAUUGGAUGUUUAAUUAACAGGAAUAAAACUAUGG